rnacentral:rRNA from 1 species
GAUGAACGCUGGCGGCGUGCCUAAUACAUGCAAGUCGAGCGAACAGACGUGGAUCUUUCUCCUCUGACGUUAGCGGCGGGCGGGUUAGCAACAGGUGGAUAACCUCCCUAUUAGCCUGGGAUAACUUAGGGAAACCGCUGCUAAAACCAGAUAUAAUAUUGUACCGCAUGGUUCUAUAUUGUAAUACGGUUUUGCUGUAAUUAUCGCUUGGAUCCGCGCUUCAUUGGUUAGAUGGUAAGGUAAAGGUUUCACCAGGCAACGAGGCGUAGCCGACCUCAGAGGCUGAUCGCAGACACUGGAACGGGGACACGGUCCAGACUCCUACGAGAGGCAGCAGUAGGGAAUCUUCCGCAGUGGGCGAAAGCCUGACGGAGCAACGCCGCGUGAGUGAUGAAGGUCUUCGGAUCGUAAAACUCUGUUAUUAGGGAAGAACAAAUGUGUAAUUAACUGUGCAGGUCUUGACGGUACCUAAUCAAAAAGCAACGGCUAACUACGUG